rnacentral:misc_RNA from 1 species
GAAAUGCGAUAAGUAAUGUGAAUUGCAGAAUUCAGUGAAUCAUCGAAUCUUUGAACGCACAUUGCGCCCGCCAGCAUUCUGGCGGGCAUGCCUGUUCGAGCGUCAUUUCAACCCUCGAGCCCCCCCGGGGGCCUCGGUGUUGGGGGACGGCACACCAGCCGCCCCCGAAAUGCAGUGGCGACCCCGCCGCAGCCUCCCCUGCGUAGUAGCACACACCUCGCACCGGAGCGCGGAGGCGGUCACGCCGUAAAACGCCCAACUUUCUUAGAGUUGACAUCGGAUCAGGUAGGAAUACCCGCUGAACUUAAGC